CCCAGACUCCUACGGGAGGCAGCAGUGGGGAAUAUUGCACAAUGGGGGAAACCCUGAUGCAGCGACGCCGCGUGGGCGACGAAGCGCUCCGGCGCGUAAAGCCCUGUCAGCAGGGAAGAACAAAGACAGUACCUGACCAAGAAGCCCCGGCUAACUACGUGCCAGCAGCCGCGGUAAUACGGAGGAUGCGAGCGUUAUCCGGAUUUAUUGGGUUUAAAGGGUGCGUAGGCGGACGCUUAAGUCAGCGGUAAAAUUGCGGGGCUCACCCUCGUCGAGCCGUUGAAACUGGGUGCCUUGAGUGGGCGAGAAGUACGCGGAAUGCGUGGUGUAGCGGUGAAAUGCAUAGAUAUCACGCAGAACGCCGAUUGCGAAGGCAGCGUACCGGCGCCCAACUGACGCUGAAGCACGAAGGCGUGGGGAUCGAACAGGAUUAGAUACCCCGGUAUUA
rnacentral:rRNA from 1 species